UCUACGGGUGGCAGCAGUGGGGAAUAUUGGACAAUGGGGGGAACCCUGAUCCAGCGACGCCGCGUGAGUGAAGAAGUAUUUCGGUAUGUAAAGCUCUAUCAGCAGGGAAGAAAAUGACGGUACCUGACUAAGAAGCCCCGGCUAACUACGUGCCAGCAGCCGCGGUAAUACGUAGGGGGCAAGCGUUAUCCGGAUUUACUGGGGGUAAAGGGAGCGUAGACGGUGCAGCAAGUCAGCGGUAAAAUUUCGGGGCUCAACCCCGAGGAGCCGUUGAAACUGGCUUGCUAGAGUGGGCGAGAAGUAUGCGGAAUGCGUGGUGUAGCGGUGAAAUGCAUAGAUAUCACGAAGAACUCCGAUUGCGAAGGCAGCAUACCGGCGCCCAACUGACGCUCAGGCACGAAAGCGUGGGUAUCGAACAGGAUUAGAUACCCUAGUAGUC
rnacentral:rRNA from 1 species